GAUGAACGCUGGCGGCGUGCCUAAUACAUGCAAGUCGAGCGAACGGACGAGAAGCUUGCUUCUCUGAUGUUAGCGGCGGACGGGUGAGUAACACGUGGAUAACCUACCUAUAAGACUGGGAUAACUUCGGGAAACCGGAGCUAAUACCGGAUGAUAUUUUGAACCGCAUGGUUCAAAAGUGAAAGACGGUCUUGCUGUCACUUAUAGAUGGAUCCGCGCUGCAUUAGCUAGUUGGUAAGGUAACGGCUUACCAAGGCAACGAUGCAUAGCCGACCUGAGAGAGUGAUCGGCCACACUGGAACUGAGACGCGGUCCAGACUCCUACGGGAGGCAGCAGUAGGGAAUCGUCCGCAAUGGGCGAAAGCCUGACGGAGCAACGCCGCGUGAGUGAUGAAGGUCUUCGGAUCGUAAAACUCUGUUAUUAGGGAAGAACAUAUGUGUAAGUAACUGUGCACAUCUUGACGGUACCUAAUCAGAAAGCCACGGCUAACUACGUG
rnacentral:rRNA from 1 species